rnacentral:rRNA from 1 species
GGUAAACGGGUGGAGCUGAAACGAGCACUGGGGAUUCAGCGCUUGCGAGAUUCUGCUAUUUGCACGGACAUCCUUUCGAGGGAGUCUGUGUGAAUUAAGUCAGUUUCGAGCAGUGUGCACUUUCCUUGUGUUAUCACUGCGACCGGUGGUUCGGUUGAUCUGUUGUCUUUGGAAGAUAGUGUAGAUUUUCGGAUUUACAUCUUAUAGCCAUUGACGUGGGUCUGAUCGGUCACUGGUGACGGCGUGGUGCUGAUGCGCAGUCUGAUGUGUCGAUGGUUCGUUGUGUAUGACUAGCAAUAGUCUGCAUGAUUGGAUUGUUUAUGUGUCUCUCUGUGCUGGUACUACCAUAGUCUGCGGUGUCAAAGUAGGUGAUCCACCUGACCCGUCUUGAAACACGGACCAAGAAGUCCAGCAUAUGCGCAAGUCAAAGAGUCAUACGAAACUCUAUGGCGAAAUGAAAGUAAAGUCAAUAUGAAAGAGAUGAGAUCCUGGAUACUUCGGUUGACAGGCGCAUCAUCGGCCCGUAGCAAUUUUCUUUAGAAAAGUUGCGGAGCUAGAGCGUAUAUGCUGGGACCCGAAAGAUGGUGACCUAUGCUUGGGCAGGUUGAAGCCAGAGGAAACUCUGGUGGAGGACCGAAGCGGUUCUGACGUGCAAAUCGAUUGUCAGACGUGAGUAUAGGGGCGAAAGACUAAUCGAACCAUCUAGUAGCUGGUUUCUCCUGAAGUUUCCCUCAGGAUAGCUGAAGCAAAGAAAAGUCGUAUCCGGUAAAGCGAAUGAUUAGAGGUGCUGGGAACUAAUAGUUCUCAACCUAUUCUCAAACUUUUAAUGGGUACGACGUCUUGCCAAAUUUAAUUUGGUUAGACUUUGGAUUAAUGCUUCAAGUGGGCCAUUUUUGGUAAGCAGAACUGGCGCUGUGGGAUGAACCAAACGUCUGGUUAAGGUGCCUAACUCAACGCUCAUGGGAUACCACAAAAGGUGUUGGUUGAUAUUGACAGCAGGACGGUGGCCAUGGAAGUCGGAAUCCGCUAAGGAGUGUGUAACAACUCACCUGCCGAAUCAACCAGCCCUGAAAAUGGAUGGCGCUAAGCGUUGGACCUAUACCGGACCGACAUUGUUGCAGAUUUUAAAGGGCAAGGAAACAAUGUCGAGUAAGGAGAUCGCCGUGGUUGUGUCGAAGCGCGUAC